rnacentral:rRNA from 1 species
AGCUCGUGUCGUGAGAUGUUGGGUUAAGUCCCGCAACGAGCGCAACCCUUGUCAUUAGUUGCCAUCAUUUGGUUGGGCACUCUAAUGAGACUGCCGGUGACAAACCGGAGGAAGGUGGGGAUGACGUCAAGUCCUCAUGGCCCUUAUGGGUAGGGCUUCACACGUCAUACAAUGGUCGGUACAGAGGGUUGCCAACCCGCGAGGGGGAGCUAAUCCCACAAAGCCGAUCGUAGUCCGGAUCGCAGUCUGCAACUCGACUGCGUGAAGUCGGAAUCGCUAGUAAUCGUGGAUCAGCAUGUCACGGUGAAUACGUUCCCGGGUCUU